rnacentral:rRNA from 1 species
UACGUAGGGUGCGAGCGUUGUCCGGAAUUAUUGGGCGUAAAGAGCUCGUAGGCGGUUUGUCACGUCUGCUGUGAAAUCCCGAGGCUCAACCUCGGGCCUGCAGUGGGUACGGGCAGACUGGAGUGCGGUAGGGGAGAAUGGAAUUUCUGGUGUAGCGGUGGAAUGCGCAGAUAUCAGGAGGAACACCGGUGGCGAAGGCGGGUCUCUGGGCAACAACUGACGCUGAGGAGCGAAAGCGUGGGGAGCGAACAGG